rnacentral:tRNA from 1 species
GCCUAGUUAGCUUAGUUGGUAGCGCGACUGCCUAGUAAGCGCUAGGUCGUGGGUUCAAUUCUCGCACGCGGCG